UACGUAGGGUCCGAGCGUUGUCCGGAAUUACUGGGCGUAAAGAGCUCGUAGGUGGUUUGUCGCGUUGUUCGUGAAAACUCACAGCUUAACUGUGGGCGUGCGGGCGAUACGGGCAGACUUGAGUACUGCAGGGGAGACUGGAAUUCCUGGUGUAGCGGUGGAAUGCGCAGAUAUCAGGAGGAACACCGGUGGCGAAGGCGGGUCUCUGGGCCGAUACUGACGCUGAGGAGCGAAAGCGUGGGGAGCGAUCCGG
rnacentral:rRNA from 1 species